GGCCUUUUCGUCCAGUGGUCAAAGACAGUUCCUUUUCACGGAGAAGACACGGGUUCAAAUCCCGUAAAGGUCA